GGAUCAGCAUGUUGGCACACACACAGGCUGUGUUCUACCCACGACCAUUUUGUCUGAUCUCAAAAGUUAAGCAGAGUCAGGUUUGGGUCUUGUCUGGGGUUAGACGAGGAUAUGGGGGGACCAAGAGGUUUUCCCCAAGGCUGGACAGCCAGGAGUGGCAGGGUGUGUGGGACAGUAUGGGCAAGUAUCUAGUCCACUGGGCCCCUCCAGUGCUUUGGAAGCAUUGGAGAUGGAAGGCAGCUGUAUGGAGUCCCCAGCAACAAGCUGCAGAAACUGCUGAAGGGGACAGUGAAUUAUUUUGAGCCUGGUGGGCCCAAUGCACUUCAGGCCAUCAGAGCAGAGAUGCAACACAGAGAUGGACUCAUGAUCGAGGGAUGGACUCAUGAUCAAGGGGUGGACUUAGCAAUGGAUGCUAUUGCCCAGGUUAUUCACGAGUGUGAACACUGCACACAGCCUCUCCUGCUCUGAAAGACUGUUA